GCUCGUCUAGCUCAGUCGAUAGAGCGCAAGGCUCUUAACCUUAAGGUCGUGGGUUUGAGCCACCGUGGGCG
rnacentral:tRNA from 1 species